rnacentral:rRNA from 1 species
GGUUAAGCGAAUAAGCGUACACGGUGGAUGCCUAGGCAAUCAGAGGCGAUGAAGGACGUGCUAAUCUGCGAAAAGCGUCGGUAAGGUGAUAUGAACCGUUAUACCCGACGAUAUCCGAAUGGGGAAACCCAGUAUCCAAUGGAUACUAUCAUUAACUGAAUCCAUAGGUUAAUGAGGCGAACCGGGAGAACUGAAACAUCUCAGUACCCCGAGGAAAAGAAAUCAACCGAGAUUCCCCUAGUAGCGGCGAGCGAACGGGGAGCAGCCCAGAGUCUUAAUCAAUAGCAGUGUCAGGAGAACGGUCUGGAAAGUCCGGCAGUAAAGGGUGAUAGCCCCGUAUCUGAAGAUGCUGUUAUUGUGAACUCGACGAGUAGGGCGGGACACGUGUUAUCCUGUCUGAAUAUGGGGGGACCAUCCUCCAAGGCUAAAUACUCCUGAUUGACCGAUAGUGAACCAGUACCGUGAGGGAAAGGCGAAAAGAACCCCGGCGAGGGGAGUGAAAAAGAACCUGAAACCGUGUACGUACAAGCAGUAGGAGCCUCUUUAUGGGGUGACUGCGUACCUUUUGUAUAAUGGGUCAGCGACUUAUAUUCUGUAGCAAGGUUAACCGUAUAGGGGAGCCGUAGGGAAACCGAGUCUUAACUGGGCGAAUGAGUUGCAGGGUAUAGACCCGAAACCCGGUGAUCUAUCCAUGGGCAGGUUGAAGGUUGGGUAACACUAACUGGAGGACCGAACCGACUAAUGUUGAAAAAUUAGCGGAUGACUUGUGGAUGGGGGUGAAAGGCCAAUCAAACCGGGAGAUAGCUGGUUCUCCCCGAAAGCUAUUUAGGUAGCGCCUCGUGAACUCAUCUUCGGGGGUAGAGCACUGUUUCGACUAGGGGGUCAUCCCGACUUACCAACUCGAUGCAAACUGCGAAUACCGAAGAAUGUUAUCACGGGAGACACACGGCGGGUGCUAACGUCCGUCGUGAAGAGGGAAACAACCCAGACCGCCAGCUAAGGUCCCAAAGUCAUGGUUAAGUGGGAAACGAAGUGGGAAGGCUCAGACAGCCAGGAUGUUGGCUUAGAAGCAGCCAUCAUUUAAAGAAAGCGUAAUAGCUCACUGGUCGAGUCGGCCCGCGCGGAAGAUGUAACGGGGCUAAACCAUGCACCGAAGCUGCGGCAGCGACACAAAGUGUUGUUGGGUAGGGGAGCGUUCUGUAAGCCUGCGAAGGUGUACUGUGAGGUAUGCUGGAGGUAUCAGAAGUGCGAAUGCUGACAUAAGUAACGAUAAUGCGGGUGAAAAACCCGCACGCCGGAAGACCAAGGGUUCCUGUCCAACGUUAAUCGGGGCAGGGUGAGUCGACCCCUAAGGCGAGGCUGAAAAGCGUAGUCGAUGGGAAACGGGUUAAUAUUCCCGUACUGGUGGUAACUGCGAUGGGGGAACGGAGAAGGCUAGGUUGUCCGGGCGACGGUCGUCCCGGUUCAAGCAGGUAGGCAGAGUGAUUAGGCAAAUCCGGUCACUUAAUGCUGAGAUGUGAUGACGAACCACCAAGGUGGUGAAGCAAUUGAUGCCCCGCUUCCAGGAAAAGCCUCUAAGCUUCAGGUUACCAACAAUCGUACCCCAAACCGACACAGGUGGUCAGGUAGAGAAUACUCAGGCGCUUGAGAGAACUCGGGUGAAGGAACUAGGCAAAAUGGUGCCGUAACUUCGGGAGAAGGCACGCUGGCGGUAGGUAAAGUCCCUCGCGGACGGCGCUGAAGCCAGUCGAAGAUACCAGCUGGCUGCAACUGUUUAUUAAAAACACAGCACUGUGCAAACACGAAAGUGGACGUAUACGGUGUGACGCCUGCCCGGUGCUGGAAGGUUAAUUGAUGGGGUUAGCCGUAAGGCGAAGCUCCUGAUCGAAGCCCCAGUAAACGGCGGCCGUAACUAUAACGGUCCUAAGGUAGCGAAAUUCCUUGUCGGGUAAGUUCCGACCUGCACGAAUGGCGUAAUGAUGGCCAGGCUGUCUCCACCCGAGACUCAGUGAAAUUGAACUCGCUGUGAAGAUGCAGUGUACCCGCGGCAAGACGGAAAGACCCCGUGAACCUUUACUAUAGCUUGACACUGAACAUUGAGCCUUGAUGUGUAGGAUAGGUGGGAGGCUUUGAAGUGUGGACGCCAGUCUGCAUGGAGCCAACCUUGAAAUACCACCCUUUAACGUUUGAUGUUCUAACCUAGGCCCAUAAACUGGGUCGGGGACCGUGUCUGGUGGGUAGUUUGACUGGGGCGGUCUCCUCCUAAAGAGUAACGGAGGAGCACGAAGGUUGGCUAAGCAUGGUCGGACAUCAUGCGGUUAGUGCAAAGGCAUAAGCCAGCUUGACUGCGAGAGUGACGGCUCGAGCAGGUACGAAAGUAGGUCUUAGUGAUCCGGUGGUUCUGAAUGGAAGGGCCAUCGCUCAACGGAUAAAAGGUACUCCGGGGAUAACAGGCUGAUACCGCCCAAGAGUUCAUAUCGACGGCGGUGUUUGGCACCUCGAUGUCGGCUCAUCACAUCCUGGGGCUGAAGUAGGUCCCAAGGGUAUGGCUGUUCGCCAUUUAAAGUGGUACGCGAGCUGGGUUUAGAACGUCGUGAGACAGUUCGGUCCCUAUCUGCCGUGGGCGUUGGAAGAUUGAGAGGGGUUGCUCCUAGUACGAGAGGACCGGAGUGAACGCACCACUGGUGUUCGGGUUGUCAUGCCAAUGGCAUUGCCCGGUAGCUAAGUGCGGAAGAGAUAACCGCUGAAAGCAUCUAAGCGGGAAACUUGCCUCGAGAUGAGUCUUCCCUGUCGCUUUAAGCGACCUAAAGGAACGUUUAAGACUAAGACGUUGAUAGGCUGGGUGUGUAAGCGUAGCGAUACGUUGAGCUAACCAGUACUAAUGAACCGUGAGGCUUAACCUG